rnacentral:tRNA from 1 species
GCUAUGGCUCAGUGGCAGAGCAUCUGCUUGGCAUGCUGAAAGUCCCAGGUUCAAUUCCCAACAUCUCUA